GCAUAUCAAUAAGCGGAGGAAAAGAAACCAACAGGGAUUGCCCUAGUAACGGCGAGUGAAGCGGCAACAGCUCAAAUUUGAAAUCUGGCGUCUUUGGCGUCCGAGUUGUAAUUUGCAGAGGGCGCUUUGGCAUUGGCAGCGGUCCAAGUUCCUUGGAACAGGACGUCACAGAGGGUGAGAAUCCCGUACGUGGUCGCUAGCCUUUACCGUGUAAAGCCCCUUCGACGAGUCGAGUUGUUUGGGAAUGCAGCUCUAAAUGGGAGGUAAAUUUCUUCUAAAGCUAAAUACUGGCCAGAGACCGAUAGCGCACAAGUAGAGUGAUCGAAAGAUGAAAAGCACUUUGGAAAGAGAGUUAAAAAGCACGUGAAAUUGUUGAAAGGGAAGCGCUUGCAGCCAGACUUGCCUGUAGUUGCUCAUCCGGGUUUUUACCCGGUGCACUCUUCUAUAGGCAGGCCAGCAUCAGUUUGGGCGGUUGGAUAAAGGUCUCUGUCAUGUACCUCUCUUCGGGGAGAACUUAUAGGGGAGACGACAUGCAACCAGCCUGGACUGAGGUCCGCGCAUCUGCUAGGAUGCUGGCGUAAUGGCUGUAAGCGGCCCGUCUUGAAACACGGACCAAGGAGUCUAACAUCUAUGCGAGUGUUUGGGUGUCAAGCCCGAGCGCGUAAUGAAAGUGAACGGAGGUGGGAACCUUUCGGGGUGCACCAUCGACCGAUCCUGAUGUCUUCGGAUGGAUUUGAGUAAGAGCAUAGCUGUUGGGACCCGAAAGAUGGUGAACUAUGCUUGAAUAGGGUGAAGCCAGAGGAAACUCUGGUGGAGGCUCGCAGCGGUUCUGACGUGCAAAUCGAUCGUCAAAUUUGGGCAUAGGGGCGAAAGACUAAUCGAACUAUCUAGUAGCUGGUUC
rnacentral:rRNA from 1 species